UACGUAGGGUGCAAGCGUUGUCCGGAAUUAUUGGGCGUAAAGAGCUCGUAGGCGGUUUGGUAAGUCUGGUGUGAAAUCUCCACGCUCAACGUGGAGGGGCCACCCGAUACUGCCAUGACUGGAGUCCGGUAGAGGAGUGUGGAAUUCCCGGUGUAGCGGUGAAAUGCGCAGAUAUCGGGAGGAACACCAGUGGCGAAGGCGACUACCUGCCUGUUCUUGACGCUGAGGCGCGAAAGCUAGGGGAGCGAACGAGGAUUGAU
rnacentral:rRNA from 1 species